AAAUAGAUACCCGGGUAGUCCAUGCCGUAAACGAUGUCUACUAGCCGUUGGGGCCCUUGAGGCUUUAGUGGCGCAGCUAACGCGAUAAGUAGACCGCCUGGGGAGUACGGUCGCAAGACUAAAACUCAAAUGAAUUGACGGGGGCCCGCACAAGCGGUGGAGCAUGUGGUUUAAUUCGAUGCAACGCGAAGAACCUUACCUGGCCUUGACAUACAGAGAACUUUCCAGAGAUGGAUUGGUGCCUUCGGGAACUCUGAUACAGGUGCUGCAUGGCUGUCGUCAGCUCGUGUCGUGAGAUGUUGGGUUAAGUCCCGCAACGAGCGCAACCCUUUUCCUUAUUUGCCAGCACUUCGGGUGGGAACUUUAAGGAUACUGCCAGUGACAAACUGGAGGAAGGCGGGGACGACGUCAAGUCAUCAUGGCCCUUACGGCCAGGGCUACACACGUGCUACAAUGGUCGGUACAAAGGGUUGCUACUGCGCGAGCAGAUGCUAAUCUCAAAAAAGCCGAUCGUAGUCCGGAUCGCAGU
rnacentral:rRNA from 1 species